AAAGUCGUAACAAGGUUUCCGUAGGUGAACCUGCGGAAGGAUCAUUCAUAAUAAAAGUGUUUUAUGGCACUUUUCAAACAAAUCCAUAUCCACCUUGUGUGCAAUGUUUUUUUUUUUAAAUAAACACUUUUUUUUUAAAUCACCAAUUUUUCUGAAAUUUAGUAUUAUUUAUGAAUUGACUUAAUUCAAAAUAUAACUUUCAACAACGGAUCUCUUGGCUCUC
rnacentral:misc_RNA from 1 species